AGCAGCCGCGGUAAUUCCAGCUCCAAUAGCGUAUAUUAAAGUUGUUGCAGUUAAAAAGCUCGUAGUUGAAUUUCGGGAUCAAUAUGUUGGUCGUGCCCUUGGUACGUACUAAUUUAUUGGUUUCUUCCUUCUGACGAACCAUGAUGUCAUUAAUUUGAUGUCAUGGGGAAUCAGGACUGUUACUUUGAAAAAAUUAGAGUGUUUAAAGCAGGCUCACGCUUGAAUACAUUAGCAUGGAAUAAUGAAAUAGGACGUUUGAUUCUAUUUUGUUGGUUUCUAGGAUCGACGUAAUGAUUAAUAGGGGAUAGUUGGGGGCAUUAGUAUUCAAUUGUCAGAGGUGAAAUUCUUGGAUUUAUUGAAGACUAACUACUGCGAAAGCAUUUGCCAAGGAUGUUUUCAUUAAUCAAGAACGAAAGUUAGGGGAUCGAAGACGAUCAGAUACCGUCGUAGUCUUAACCAUAAACUAUGCCGACUAGGGAUCGGAUGAUGUUAAUUUUUUAAUGACUCAUUCGGCGCCUUACG
rnacentral:rRNA from 1 species